AGCGAACGCUGGCGGCAGGCUUAACACAUGCAAGUCGAACGGGCAUAGCAAUAUGUCAGUGGCAGACGGGUGAGUAACGCGUGGGAACGUACCUUUUGGUUCGGAACAACACAGGGAAACUUGUGCUAAUACCGGAUAAGCCCUUACGGGGAAAGAUUUAUCACCGAAAGAUCGGCCCGCGUCUGAUUAGCUAGUUGGUAGGGUAAUGGCCUACCAAGGCGACGAUCAGUAGCUGGUCUGAGAGGAUGAUCAGCCACAUUGGGACUGAGACACGGCCCAAACUCCUACGGGAGGCAGCAGUGGGGAAUAUUGGACAAUGGGCGAAAGCCUGAUCCAGCCAUGCCGCGUGAGUGAUGAAGGCCCUAGGGUUGUAAAGCUCUUUUGUGCGGGAAGAUAAUGACGGUACCGCAAGAAUAAGCCCCGGCUAACUUCGUG
rnacentral:rRNA from 1 species